UUUUAGCUUUGCAAGAAUCUAUUACGUAGACUACAUCGUUAAUCGUAAUAGAUGUUUCAGCGAUAUUUGUGGAUAAAAUGAUUUUCGUGAUUCCUGGUGGCACAGGAUCGAAAACUUUACGCUGAUCUUCCCUAGGUAAAAAGAUCAGUACGGCACCUGGUAUACCUUGAUCCUUGAUAUAUUUCAGAAGAGCCUCUAUAAGUUCAAAACUGAUCUCUUUUUCCCCAGUCCAUGGAUUCCAAUUUUGUUGCGGCGGAGACCAACUCACUACACCAGCAGGUUGUGGAACGGAUGAAAUAAAAUCAUCCAAUACUUGAUUUGUUAUUAAAGAGACACCAGUGCUAGAUUGAUCAUCUUCUGAUUUUAUAGAGUACCACUGAAUGCCUCGAUGACGCCAAGAUGAUAUAAUUGCCGAACGAGAGACAAAGCGCAACUUUUUGAUGCGGUCUGCUUGUUUGAACCAGUUUCACGACCAGUGACAUCUAAAAUUUGUUGAAAUUAAAAUGUUGUGCUUUCAAAACUUUUAUAUUAGGUUUUCUUAUAAGUAAUGAUGCAUAUAUGAAGUGAAUAUAAUUUAUAAUAUUGUGUAAUUGUAUGUAUCUGAAUAACAUUCAAUGUCCUAUUUCCAAAUCAUCCUGCAUAUCAUUCAAAUACAUCAUUACUUACAGGAAAUUUGAAUAAAUAUUUAAAUAAUUCG